rnacentral:rRNA from 1 species
UACGAAGGGGGCUAGCGUUGCUCGGAAUUACUGGGCGUAAAGCGCACGUAGGCGGUCUUUUAAGUCGGGGGUGAAAUCCUGGAGCUCAACUCCAGAACUGCCUUCGAUACUGGAAGACUUGAGUCCGGGAGAGGUGAGUGGAACUGCGAGUGUAGAGGUGAAAUUCGUAGAUAUUCGCAAGAACACCAGUGGCGAAGGCGGCUCACUGGUCCGGUACUGACGCUGAGGUGCGAAAGCGUGGGGAGCAAACAGG